CAUUUUGAAACGUUCCCUGAAUAUUUCUGUCCCUGUGUUGGUGGUGCUAAAUAUGUGUAUGCGACCAAUAACAUUCGAUUUGGUUUGAUGUAUUAUUGGAUAUUGGAGACAUUCUGCGUUGGUAUCCUUUCUCAACAUAGUGUUGGAAUAUAUCCAUUAUAGCCUGAGCCUGUGAUAUCUGAGAGCUUGACCAGUGUCUUUCUUCGGCUGUCAAGGGAGCACUGCAUGCAAACCUGGAAAGACUGCACAGCUGGGGUCCACAGACAGAGAGAAUUAAUUAAGACAGAAUGAAAAGACUCGUGAGUAUUUUGCCUGCACAUAUAGCCUAAGCUUUCUGGUCAUUUGAAGGUGACGCUUACCCCUCUACACCGAUUAUAGCCCACUCUUGGGUUUCAUUGUGUGAUUUGCAGGGGUGCCCGAAAAAUAUCCUUAUCUUCAAACAAGGCACUGAAAUGUAGCCUAUAAAUAAAGCACUGCACCUGCAGGUACCAUAUUUCGCUUUUACCCGGGUAAGGUUUAUUGGAAAGGUUUGAACUGGUCUGGACGCGUUCACUGGAAGAUAACGGGGAUGCCACGGUUACGCGCAGAAGCCGCUCGAGGAAGAGACAGGUGCGGCAGAGGGGAUUGGUAGCUUAAUAGCCGAUUCUCAUCCAGGCAUUGUGAUUACCAAGAACCAGAGAGAGCUUGGUGCCCUGCUCCACCCUUUGUGUUGAUUUCAGACGUAGAGGAAAACCUGUCUGCAUACGAGAGGACGACUGGCAACAGACCAGACAUCGCCUGCAUACCUGUCCAUCUCGCACAGUGAAUGUGCCCGUGCUGUGCUGCCAUGACAACCAUGGCCCCUCCCCUCACGUUUCUCCUCCUUCUCCUCCGAUUGGCUCACAGUUCUUUCCCAGAGGAGCCCGGUCCGCUCAGCCUACUCCCUUAGAGGUGGUGAGGAGGUAUCCUGUGUUUGUGGGUAGAGCUCAUCAUUCCUCUCAGAGACAGGAGUGCACAUUCAGACAGUGCUCCAGGUCAACCGCACUCUCUACAUAGG